CCUACGGGUGGCUGCAGUGGGGAAUAUUGCACAAUGGGCGCAAGCCUGAUGCAGCCAUGCCGCGUGUGUGAAGAAGGCCUUCGGGUUGUAAAGCACUUUCAGCGGGGAGGAAGGCGGUGAGGUUAAUAACCUCAUCGAUUGACGUUACCCGCAGAAGAAGCACCGGCUAACUCCGUGCCAGCAGCCGCGGUAAUACGGAGGGUGCAAGCGUUAAUCGGAAUUACUGGGCGUAAAGCGCACGCAGGCGGUCUGUCAAGUCGGAUGUGAAAUCCCCGGGCUCAACCUGGGAACUGCAUUCGAAACUGGCAGGCUAGAGUCUUGUAGAGGGUGGUAGAAUUCCAGGUGUAGCGGUGAAAUGCGUAGAGAUCUGGAGGAAUACCGGUGGCGAAGGCGGCCCCCUGGACAAAGACUGACGCUCAGGUGCGAAAGCGUGGGGAGCAAACAGGAUUAGAUACCCUAGUAGUC
rnacentral:rRNA from 1 species